GGAGUUAGCCGGUGCUUCUUCUGCGAGUAACGUCACAGAUGUAAGGUAUUAACUUACACCCUUUCCUCCUCGCUGAAAGUGCUUUACAACCCGAAGGCCUUCUUCACACACGCGGCAUGGCUGCAUCAGGGUUUCCCCAUUGUGCAAUAUUCCCCACUGCUGCCUCCCGUAGGAGUCUGGGCCGUGUCUCAGUCCCAGUGUGGCUGAUCAUCCUCUCAGACCAGCUAGGGAUCGUCGCCUAGGUGAGCCUUUACCUCACCUACUAGCUAAUCCCACCUGGGCUUAUCCAUCAGCGCAAGGCCCGAAGGUCCCCUGCUUUCCCCCGUAGGGCGUAUGCGGUAUUAGCAGUCGUUUCCAACUGUUAUCCCCACAAAUGGGCAAAUUCCCAGGCAUUACUCACCCGUCCGCCGCUCGUCAUCUUCAAAAGCAAGCUUUUGAAAUGUUACCGCUCGACUUGCAUGUGUUAGGCCUGCCGCCAGCGUUCAAUCUGAGCCAUGAUCAAAACUCUGA
rnacentral:rRNA from 1 species